rnacentral:rRNA from 1 species
GAUGAACGCUGGCGGCGUGCCUAAUACAUGCAGGUCGAGCGAACAGACGAGGAGCUUGCUCCUCUGACGUUAGCGGCGGACGGGUGAGUAACACGUGGAUAACCUACCUAUAAGACUGGGAUAACUUCGGGAAACCGGAGCUAAUACCGGAUAAUAUAUUGAACCGCAUGGUUCAAUAGUGAAAGACGGUUUUGCUGUCACUUAUAGAUGGAUCCGCGCCGCAUUAGCUAGUUGGUAAGGUAACGGCUUACCAAGGCGACGAUGCGUAGCCGACCUGAGAGGGUGAUCGGCCACACUGGAACUGAGACACGGUCCAGACUCCUACGGGAGGCAGCAGUAGGGAAUCUUCCGCAAUGGGCGAAAGCCUGACGGAGCAACGCCGCGUGAGUGAUGAAGGUCUUCGGAUCGUAAAACUCUGUUAUUAGGGAAGAACAAAUGUGUAAGUAACUAUGCACGUCUUGACGGUACCUAAUCAGAAAGCUACGGCUAACUACGUG